UCUGUAGCCGUUCUGAAGGAUGAUCGCAAUGGACUGAACGUCAGAUCCUACGAGCAGCAGUGGGGAAUAUGACAUUGGGGGAUCCUGAUUCAGCCAUGCGCGUGUUGGAGAGCUUAUGGUGUAAGCACUUUAGCGAGGGAGGAGGCUCUUUUGGUAAUACCCAGAUGAGUGGACGUUACUCGCAGAAUAAGCACCGGCUAACUCUGUGCCAGCAGCCGCGGUAAUACAGAGGGUGCAAGCGUUAAUCGGAUUUACUGGGCGUAAAGCGCGCGUAGGCGGCCAAAUUAAGUCAAAUGUGAAAUCCCCGAGCUUAACUUGGGAAUUGCAUUCGAUACUGGUUGGCUAGAGUGUGGGAGAGGAUGGUAGAAUUCCAGGUGUAGCGGUGAAAUGCGUAGAGAUCUGGAGGAAUACCGAUGGCGAAGGCAGCCAUCUGGCCUAACACUGACGCUGAGGUGCGAAAGCAUGGGGAGCAAACAGGAUUAGAUACCCUGGUAGUCCAUGCCGUAAACGAUGUCUACUAGCCGUUGGGGCCUUUGAGGCUUUAGUGGCGCAGCUAACGCGAUAAGUAGACCGCCUGGGGAGUACGGUCGCAAGACUAAAACUCAAAUGAAUUGACGGGGGCCCGCACAAGCGGUGGAGCAUGUGGUUUAAUUCGAUGCAACGCGAAGAACCUUACCUGGCCUUGACAUAGUAGAAACUUUCCAGAGAUGGAUUGGUGCCUUCGGGAAUCUACAUACAGGUGCUGCAUGGCUGUCGUCAGCUCGUGUCGUGAGAUGUUGGGUUAAGUCCCGCAACGAGCGCAACCCUUUUCCUUACUUGCCAGCAUUUCGGAUGGGAACUUUAAGGAUACUGCCAGUGACAAACUGGAGGAAGGCGGGGACGACGUCAAGUCAUCAUG
rnacentral:rRNA from 1 species